GCACAAGCAGCGAGGCAUGUGGUUUAAUUCGAGGCUACACGAAGAACCUUACCUGGGUUUGACAUGUACGAGAAAGUCCCAAGAACUGGGACCCUAGUCGUAGCAAUACGGUUACCCGUACACAGGUGGUGCAUGGUUGUCGUCAGCUCGUGCCGUGAGGUGUAAGGUUAAGUCCUUGAACGAGCGCAACCCACGUGGUUAUUUGCUCUUGGUCGCAAGGCCAAGCACUAUAACCAAACCGCUACCGACGAGGUAGAGGAAGGUGUGGAUGACGUCAAAUCAUCACGCCCCUUAUGUCCAGGGCUACACACAUGCGACAAUGGUUGGAACAAUGAGUUGCAAACCAGUAAUGGCAAGCUAAUCUCCAACACCAGCCCCAGUACGGAUCGAGGGUUGAAACUCACCCUCGUGAAGAUGGAGUUGCUAGUAAACGCAAGUCAGCCAUAUUGCGUUGAAUACGUUCCCGGGCCUU
rnacentral:rRNA from 1 species